GCUUUAGCCGCCUGUUUGCCUCUCGCUUGCUUCUAUGGUUAGCUCGCGGUUUUCGUCGAUGACUCCCCUGCACCACCUACUUGUCAUCUAAUGCGGAGCUGGUGGACGCGCUGGCUUUUAUAGGGAGGAGGGAAAAAGGUCGCCCGGUAAGGUACAGCUGGAGGAGCCAUUACCAGUCAAUGGAUGCUAGGCGACUUCCUGUAACACCAGCGGAACAACCACGUUCCCAAUACGGCUCCCAUUUGCUCAAGGCCCAUGUUGGCAUAUUGGGAAUUGGAGCUGGACUGCAGAUGGAGCGGAGAAGAUGGCGAAGCAUCCGCGACACGAGAAGGAUACCUUAAACUAUUAAUUAACAUAAAUAAAAACAUGCUUUAAAAACUUCA